rnacentral:rRNA from 1 species
UACGGAGGGGGCUAGCGUUAUUCGGAAUUACUGGGCGUAAAGCGUUCGUAGGCGGCUUUGUAAGUCAGAGGUGAAAGCCCACGACUCAAUCGUGGAACUGCCUUUGAGACUGCUUCGCUUGAAGAUGGGAGAGGUUAGUGGAAUUCCGAGUGUAGAGGUGAAAUUCGUAGAUAUUCGGAAGAACACCAGUGGCGAAGGCGACUGACUGGACAUGUAUUGACGCUGAGGUGCGAAAGCGUGGGGAGCAAACAGG